ensembl:lncRNA
AAAAGUCUAAGUGAGUCCUGGUCCCCCUGCAGAUUCUCCAUGUUGCCUGUGUUUUUCUGUUUAUGUAGCCACAGUGACCCCUUGUGUUCAAUGGUGCAUAAACGUGUGAAUGUUGUUUUGUAACCUGGUCAAACCAAAUAGAUGUUGUGCAAAGCUCUGAGUGAUCCAGAUUGUCACUUUCCUCCCCUGCUGCUAUUUGUGCUUGCUGAUAUUCUGUGUGUCUCUAAACUUUAUAGUUUAUCUGGGAAAAUAGUUUACUUACUUUUUCCUUUUGUACAUGCACAAUUUUCUUGUGAAUGGCACUGCUAUAUGGUGCUUGUUAUGUUAUGCAUAAGUAAUGGAGGGCUUCAUUUUUACAUUUUACAGUUACUCAGUGUCAGUACGUAACUGUCAGAUUCAUAAUGGCACAGCCGAGAAUAAGUAAGAGAGGAGUAAUUUUCACACUGAGUGUGUAAUUUAUGAAAAUGAGCCAUCACAUUUAGCACUGAUGGUUAUCUUUGAAAAACCGUGCCGUCCUUUCACUCAGAGGUGUCUUGGCCAAACUGAGAAACACCAUUUGCCACGAGCCCUCUGGAGCCUGACAGGAUGAGCCGCGACGGCAAUGCAAAGAAGUCAUUUUGAUAUAUUUUUUUUUUUAUAUAUUUUUUUUAAGGGUUUACAUUAUUUAUGGUUGAUAUAUCUGACUGUGAAUGUACAUUGUCUUCUUUCUUAGAGCUCCUUUUAUUGUUUUUUUAAUUCCACCGUAUAAUCAUUGUGAAACGGUAAAAUCCUUACAAGUUUGAGUGAAAUUGAUUGUCAGUUGAUGCCUGCCAGAGUUCAAAAUGUACAUCAUAGAUGUAAGUGCAAAAAUCAAAAAGCUGAGGGUUUUUUUUGUUAAUCAAAAAUAAGAUACUGCAUAAUAUAAAUCAUGGUGGAUUAUUGAAAUAAAUGUAAUAAAAGUGAUAUUGAUGUUAUAUGCAAUGUAGCUAUAUUAUGUGAAAAUGAGUAUGUUAUUACAACAUGCACAUGUCCAAUAAAACCUAUGACAAAUAA